CNAANANCNCCUUUAUACUGCGAAACUGCANGGCUCAUUAUAUCAUUUAUAAUCUACUUGAUCGUAUCCUCUUACUUGGAUAACCGUANUAAUUCUAGAGCUAAUACGUGCAAAAGUUCCCGACUGGUGACGGAAGGGAAGUAUUUAUUAGGUCCAAAAUCAAUGCUGGCCAUUCCAAACUGGGUGGGCAACUCCCCGGGGUCACGAAAGUUGAGAAGACUCAAAAACUCUAAAAUACCCACAGUGCUCUCUUUCGCGCCUAUAAUAAAGACUUUUUUCGCCUUCAACUUUUUACGGGGGUANGGGANAACAACGGUGGCCACAGGGGGCGGGGGNUUAUAAACAUAUAUGAGUCGGCUAGGAGUCAUUCGGAUUUCUGCCCCAUCCACUCUCUAUGGUAUGAUAGAGGCCUACCAUGGCCGCAACGGGUAACGGUUAAUNUUNUCCAUGUAGUUGGUCUAUCGGCUAUANCUNAUAUAAUGAGCCAUUGNAGUUUGNUUNGUAAUUGCUUAUACUUAGACAUGCAUGGUAAUCUUUUGAGACNGUAUGACUACA
rnacentral:rRNA from 1 species